rnacentral:lncRNA from 1 species
UGGGGUCCCCAAUUUUAAAGCCCCCUCCCAUAUUAAGCCCCCCCCCAAUUAAAUAAAUCCCCCCCCCCCCCCAAUUUCCGGUACCUUCGUAUCGUGGCCUCAUGGAGCUGUUCAUUGAGCCCCAUUUCAUCCCGGGCCCAACGCUGCAGCUCCGCCUCCAGCGCCGCCAUCUUGGAUCCUGAGGUAAAAGGGAGGCGGGCCAAGAUGGCGGCGGGCGGGAAAAUCAAACAAAAUGGCGGCGGGCGGGAAAAGAAAAAGGGGGAGGGAAAAUGGCGGCGGUGGCGCGCGGGGCAUGAUGGGAAGGGUGAGAGGCGGGGCAAGAUGGCGGCGGGCGGGAAACAAAAUGGCGGCGGUGGCGAGGGGGCGUGGCUUGAACCGGAAGUGUAGCGCAAAGGCUGCUGGGAAAUGUAGUCUCAUGGUGCAGCCGCCAUUUUGGAGGCCAUUUUUGGGGUGAAAAAAGGCGAAAUGAGGCAAAAAUGGGGCGGGAUGUUUAAUGGGGGUGUAACAGGGCGGAGGGGGAGGAGGCGGCCAGCAGCAAAUCCACGGAGCUGAGGGAAUAAAGGGGGGAAAUGGAGCUUAUGGGGCUGCCCCACACUUAUGGGGCAGAGCCCACUUAUGGGGCAGCCCCACACUUAUGGGUCAGCCCCACACUUAUGGGGCAGCCCCACACUUAUGGGGCAGCCCCACACUUAUGGGGCAGCCCCACACUUAUGGGGCAGACCCCACUUAUGGGGCAGCCCUCCACAGCCCCACACUUAUGGGGUCAGAGCCCACUUAUGGGGCAGACCCACACUUAUGGGGCAGACCCACACUUAUGGGGCAGCCCCCCACCUCAGCAUCCCUUUCAGUCUCCGCCGUCUCUCCCUCAUCCCCCUCAGCACCGCGUCGUCCGCCGCCUCCUCCUCAUCCGAAUCUAUGGGGCAGAGCAGACGUGGGUCAGCACAUGUGGGGCUGCCCCAUAAGUGUGGGGCUGACCCCCAAGUGUGGGGCUGCCCCAUAAGUGCUCUGUUCUCACCCAGCGCUUCCUGCAGCAGUUCAAUGGCGGCCGCUUUCUGCCCCACGGCGCAGCCCCACGGCGAUGGAGGGAGGGCCUGCCCCAUAGAAACACAUUGA